UUAUGGGAGAGAGCCCUCGGGGCACUCUCCUCUCCAAUAAAACCUCAUUUUUGCCCUGCUCAAAGAGUCCGCCUUCUUCCUACUGCCGAGGUCGUGAUUGCGUCAUCUCCGUGCCCAUCGCAGGGCAGAAGGAGGCUUUCUUACCUAGCCACUUCGUCCUACCACGCUGCUGCAGUGACAUCUACUGGACUGAGCUAGCUAUUGCAGCGUGAUUAACACGCGAUUCGGACACUGCGACAGCGGUCUGGCGCCCAACGUGGGGCACCCCCCGGUCACGAGGAGGACCCCACGGCACGGAUUUUAAGCUGUCCCGGACAGCUGAAGCUAUUCCUGGAUGUCCCGCUACCACCGGUGGCAGCGGAUCUUAGAGAGCCCGCUCCCAAGGGAGAGGAGGACAACCCGCACCCAUAGGAUCCUCCUCAGGCAGUUGGACCCACAACCUCAGGUUUUGUCUCGUUCCAGGAGGGGAAAGCCAACCUAGAAAAGAGAAGAGAUACAAAAUCCUGUUCAGGCCAAAUGAGGACUAUUAACUAAGAAGGCAUGGGGACAGAGAUCACACGGUGAAGGACCACUCUCUUGUGGACAGCAAUAAAACCUGAAAAUGCCAUGGCUCCUAUCCACUAGGCAAUGACCCAGGGAAUCACUAUUGGACUGGAAGGCUGGAGUUAUAAGGACACAUGUUCCUUAAUGCACUCUAAGAAAAUCACUGCCUUAAUCAAAGAGCUACAUUUUCUCCCCCCUUCCAAAAGGGGGAGAAAAGCAGAGAAAUGAACAAAGUAUGAAAAUGGAUGGAGAGCAACGGAGAGGGAGUACAAUCCAGAAGAGCACUGGAAUGAGGAGAAGACUGACAGUUACACAGCAACUUUGUUUUCCUUCUCUCAACAAGAGAGAGCAGAGUUAAUGCUCUCUUAAUAGGAGAGAGAGAAGAGUUAAUGCUCUCUGUCUUGCAAGAGAUAAGGACCCAGUCGAGGAUCUCAGAUUGGAGCAGAACUAAAUGAAUGUUUCAAGCUGAAGAAUUGUAAGAAGAAAAUGUUCAGUGAGAGAGACUAGAGACUGUAAACAUGGAAAAAACCCAAAAGAAUGAAAAAUGACAGAAGUUUUUCUGGUGAAGAUGUAAAGAAAAGCAUGGAUUUUGAAGGAUGUUGAAAAAGUAAAGUUGAUCACGAGAAGCCUAAGGCAGGUCAGAGAACUACCCAGCUGGAAAUUUGAAUUACUGAAAAUACAUCUGAAAUGCAGGGACAAUUACACAAAAGAGGGACAGAAAGAAAGAAAAAUGAAUUUUAGUUGUCUUAAGCUAAGGAAGAACAGGCCUAAACAAUAUUCCCAUGUCUCCAUUGCGAGGGUGAUAGAGUAUGACAAACUGUGUACCUAAUGCUGGCUUUUAUCUUGCACUUAAAAUGUAGGCAGAUAGGGCCUCCUCCUGAAGGCUUUCAAAAGUACACUCUUCACUCCACUAGAUAUACAGGAGACAUACAAUUUACAAGAACUAAUGAGCUAGGAACAAAAAAUUGAGGCAAAAAUCUGGUUUCUGAGUUACUCAGUCUAGAUCUGUGUACCUCGUCCUGCUGCCCUUCCCCCCAAAAUUUGGGCAGAGGAGUAGACAUAGGUCUAUGAAGCAAGAUUCCAGAAAAGAAAGAGAAUUAAAAAUACUUGCCAGCAAUAUGCUGACUGAGGAAUAGAAAGACUGCAGAGCAGACAGGAUGUGGAAAGGAGUGGUGAAACAGGGAGAAGCUGAUGAAAAGAGCCAGUGACGAGCAGAAGAGAUACUUUUGUACCUCAGUUACUCAGAAGGAUGACAAUACCUUCAGAAACAAGUCAAAAUUUGACUUCAGUAGAGCUUAGCAGAGGAUCCCAAGUUUUUCAUGCCCUGGAUAUAUCAGUUAAGCAAGAAAUGGUUGUACCUUAGUAAUUCAACUGAGACAUUUUGAAUCACAUAAACUCAGAUCCAGUUCUAAAUUUCCCUUGUGCACUUUGAAGAGUAUUUCCAUUUGGAUUUGAUUCAGUACCAUUAUUACUUUUACUGGAACUCCAGUGCAUAUUGAGAUAUGGAGAUAUUCCUAAUUUUUAAUGGCAUUUUUAUUCAUACUUAAUGGUUAUUAAAGAGGUGGAUGUUAUAGGAUUUAUUUGAAUUGGAACUUACUUUGUCAAUGUAAGCUAUAGCACUUAAGAUCAGGUCAUGUAUACAUUUGUCAACAUUGUGAAGAUAAAUGAAAGCUGAUUAUACAGAUUAGAGAGUAAAAUUUGGUUGCAGUUCUGUAGACAAACCUACCCCCCUGCAAAGCAUCAAAGAUGACUUCUCUAAGAAUCAUUCUCUAAAGGAAGCAAAUUUUUUAUUACAACAACAAAACAAAACAACAACAACAACAAAAAACCACCACAACCAGACCUGUUAUAAGUCUAAGGCAUCAGAGAUGGUUACUGCAAAAGUGCAGUUUGGUUAAAAUCUGUUGAGAAAGUCAGUCUACCAUGUUUUCACAGCAGUUCUCACUAUUCACUACUGUUGUGGUGAGCUGAAAACAGCAGUGUAUAAUCACAUCCUGCUCUGACGUAAAAAUGGGCUUUUUAAAUUUAAAAUAGCAGUUCUCACACUGCCUUCUCACCAGUAGAAUAUUUUAAGCAGUACUGCAUACCAUGGUGCUCCAUGCUAUGAUCUGUAAUACUAAAAUUCAAAGAGUAAGGAAAAGAGAUGCCUUAACUAAGAAGUAAUAUGUUAUCGAUUAUUUUACUCUAAAGUCUUGACCUCCAUAGGAACAUUGUCAUAAGAAAUUGGGUGGGAUAAUUAUGAAAUAGUAUUUUAUCAGUGGAAGCCUUUUUAGAUUCAGCCUGAAGAAAAUACAUGAGAUCACCACACCUUUCAAAAAACCUCCAGUCUAUCCCGUUUGUGUUCACUUAAAAUCAGUGGGAAGUAACUAAAUGACACAUCAAUUUUUAAUCAAAAAUAUUUUAGCUAAAUAUAUUUCAUUGGGAAGCUACAACAAAAUGAAUUAUACAGUUCUUUCACUGUACAACUCAGAAGAGAAUAUUUAAUAACACCAUGCAGCAUGAAUUGUGCUUGCAUAGUGAUUUGCACAGGAUGUCUUAAGGAAAAUUAUACAUAAAGAGUAAAACCCCACAAAUUUAGAUCAUUGAGUGGAAGCCAAGGAGAACAAAUAAAA